UACGGAGGGUGCAAGCGUUAUCCGGAUUUACUGGGUUUAAAGGGUGUGUAGGCGGACUUUUAAGUCAGGGGUGAAAUCCCGAGGCUCAAACCUCGGAACUGCCUUUGAUACUAUUGGUCUUGAAUCUUGUUGAGGUGGGCGGAACGGGUCAUGUAGCGGUGAAAUGCAUAGAUAUGACCCGGAACACCGAUUGCGAAGGCAGCCCGCUAAGCAAGCAUUGACGCUGAGGCACGAAAGCGUGGGGAUCAAACAGG
rnacentral:rRNA from 1 species